GACGAACGCUGGCGGCGUGCCUAAUACAUGCCAGUAGAACGCUGAAGUAGGAGCUUGCUUCUCUGGAUGAGUUGCGAACGGGUGAGUAACGCGUAGGUAACCUGCCUGGUAGCGGGGGAUAACUAUUGGAAACGAUAGCUAAUACCGCAUAAGAGUAGAUGUUGCAUGACAUUUACUUAAAAGUUGCAAUUGCAUCACUACCAGAUGGACCUGCGUUGUAUUAGCUAGUUGGUGAGGUAACGGCUCACCAAGGCAACGAUACAUAGCCGACCUGAGAGGGUGAUCGGCCACACUGGGACGGAGACACGGCCCAGACUCCUACGGGAGGCAGCAGUAGGGAAUCUUCGGCAAUGGACGGAAGUCUGACCGAGCAACGCCGCGGGAGUGAAGAAGGGUUUCGGAUCGUAAAGCUCUGUUGUAAGAGAAGAACGAGUGUGAGAGUGGAAAGUUCACACUGUGACGGUAUCUUACCAGAAAGGGACGGCUAACUACGUG
rnacentral:rRNA from 1 species